UAUUAGCAUGGCAGUUUUAAAGAUAAUGAAAGAAAUUUGGGUAUAGAGUCAUCUUUAAACACAAUUUUCGAAAAUGGAGAGAUGAAAUUGAAUCUCCAAUAAGCAGUUCCAGAAUUGAAUCGUUUUCGCAAUCCGCACCGAGAUCUAUUCCAAGUAAAUCGCCAUCAGAUUGUACAGAAAACAUUAUACAAACCACUGUACUGGACAUAUUGAAGGAUCAUAAAGUCGGUGACAGCAUUAUGAAAAAUUAUAGGAAAACGGAACAAAUAUCCGACAAGGAAAGAACUAUUAUUAUUGACUUAAUAGUUCAUAAUUUCCACAGCAAACAAUUGAAUAUGACUUUACAAGAUAGUUACCGGCUCGAAAAGGAAAUUAUACAUUUUUUCCCACAGAAAAAUGGAAUACUAUCGGACAGACAAGCGUCGAAAAAUUUAUCUAAAAAAAACAGCUAUACAAAUUACAUCAAAAUUGUCCAUUCCCCUAAGUACCAGAAACAACUAAUACACCACAAGAAGAUGAAGAUGAAACCGUUUUUGCUUACAUAACAAGUGUCAAAUAUGACAAUUUAACGCCUGAGCAAUUUAACAAAGCGUGGAGAGUUUCAUCGAAGUUCAAAUUGAGGCAAAUUAUAGAUGAAAGUAAAAAUAUAGCUGAUAUUUUAAAAAAGUGGUCACAAUAUAAAUGCCGGACGGCUGUCAAUUGGUUGACAUCGACUUAAUAAAUACGGAUCAUCCUUAAUUGAGUGGAAUGACAAAUUAAUAAAAUAAAUGAAAUUAUAAUGUUUUCUGUACAAUCUGAUGGCGAUUUACUUGGAAUAGAUAUCGGUGCGGAUUGCGAAAUC